rnacentral:rRNA from 1 species
GACGAACGCUGGCGGCGUGCUUAACACAUGCAAGUCGAACGGAAAGGCCCUGCUUUUGUGGGGUGCUCGAGUGGCGAACGGGUGAGUAACACGUGAGUAACCUGCCCUUGACUUUGGGAUAACUUCAGGAAACUGGGGCUAAUACCGGAUAGGAGCUCCUGCUGCAUGGUGGGGGUUGGAAAGUUUCGGCGGUUGGGGAUGGACUCGCGGCUUAUCAGCUUGUUGGUGGGGUAGUGGCUUACCAAGGCUUUGGCGGGUAGCCGGCCUGAGAGGGUGACCGGCCCCAUUGGGGCCGAGGGACGGCACCGGUGCCGAAGGGGGGGCAGAGGGGGGAAGAUUGCACCAUGGGCAGCAGGCUGGUGCAGCAACGCCGCGGGCUGGAUGGCCGUCUUCGGGGUGUAAAACGGCUUCGGCUGUGAACAAGGCUGGGUUGACGUUAUGGGUAAAAUAAGAACCGGCUAAUACCUUG